rnacentral:rRNA from 1 species
AUGGCUCCUACCGAGGCUGAGGCUGAUGUAGAGGAGGGAGAAGAGAAGAAGAAGAGGGAAAGGAAAGCAGCCGGAGCUGCUAUCACGUGGAUUCAAAAUAACUUUGCGACGUGCCCUCCGGAUGCCACUGAUGAUGUGAUCCAGACACAUGCUCGUGUGUAUAUGUGGUACGUUGUGUCUAGGACUUUGUUUCCUGACUCCACUGGCAAGAACGCUCCAUGGAUGUGGCUGAAGGCGUUGACCGUCUUCGAUAGCAAAUGGAGCUGGGGUUCAGCGACUCUUGCCUACUUGUACCGGCAGGUAGUUGGUCUGUUUUGUGAUCAACUCAUUUCUUCAUUAGCAAUGCAAGCUUGCUGUCAAGUUAACAUUGUUUUUCUUUCAUAUGUAGCUGGACGAUGCGUGUUGCAGGAUCACAGAUAG